GACGAACGCUGGCGGCGUGCUUAACACAUGCAAGUCGAACGGAAAGGCCCUGCUUUUGUGGGGCUCUCGAGUGGCGAACGGGUGAGUAACACGUGUGUAAACUGUACCUGUAUUUGGGAUAAAUUUAGGAAACAGGGGCUAAUACCGGAUAGGAGAUACUGCUGCAUGGUGGGGGUUGGAAAGUUUCGGCGGUUGGGGAUGGACUCGCAGCUUAUCGGCUUGAUGGUGGGGUAGUGGCUUACACAGGUUUUGACGGAUAGCCGGCCUGAGAGGGUGACCGGCCACAUUGGGACUGAGGUACGGCCCAGACGCCUACGGGAGGCAGCGGGGGGGAAUAUUGCACAAUGAGCGGAAGCCUGAUGCGGCAGCGCCGCGUGCGGGAUGACGGCCUUCGGGUUGUAAACCGCUUUCUCCUGUAACGAAGCGUGAGUGACGGUAAUGGGUAAAGAAGCACCGGCUAACUACGUG
rnacentral:rRNA from 1 species